rnacentral:rRNA from 1 species
CACGUAGGGCGCGAGCGUUGUCCGGAAUUAUUGGGCGUAAAGAGCUCGUAGGCGGCCUGUGGCGUCCGCGGUGAAAGCCCGGGGCUUAACCCCGGGUCGGCAGUGGAUACGGGCAGGCUAGAGGUAGGUAGGGGAGAAUGGAAUUCCCGGUGUAGCGGUGAAAUGCGCAGAUAUCGGGAGGAACACCGGUGGCGAAGGCGGUUCUCUGGGCCUUACCUGACGCUGAGGAGCGAAAGCGUGGGGAGCGAACAGG